AACGAACGCUGGCGGCAUGCCUAACACAUGCGAGUCGAACGAGACCUUCGGGUCUAGUGGCGCACGGGUGCGUAACGCGUGGGAACCUGCCCUUAGGUUCGGAAUAACUCCCCGAAAGGGGUGCUAAUACCGGAUAAUGUCUUCGGACCAAAGAUUUAUCGCCUUUGGAUGGGCCCGCGUUGGAUUAGCUAGUUGGUAGGGUAAAAGCCUACCAAGGCGACGAUCCAUAGCUGGUCUGAGAGGAUGACCAGCAACCCUGGGACUGAGACACGGCCCAGACUCCUACGGGAGGCAGCAGUGGGGAAUAUUGGACGAUGGGCGAGAGCCUGAUCCAGCAAUGCCGCGUGAGUGAUGAAGGCCUUAGGGUUGUAAAGCUCUUUUACCCGGGAUGAUAAUGACAGUACCGGGAGAAUAAGCUCCGGCUAACUCCGUG
rnacentral:rRNA from 1 species